GGGCGGGGCCGGGGCGCGCCCCUCGUUGUUGUCUCGGGCGCCCGCCGCCGCUGCUCGGCGUCCGGGGUGGAAACGGCGACGUUUGCUGGGCUGGGCGAACGUUCUGCCAGCCGCUGCUGGAGCCCGCUCGAUCGAAUUUACGAAGCAAAAUGAAACCCUUGAGCGCCGCGAAUUGGAAAUGAUGGGUUUCAUUGAGCCGUGAGUCGUGAGCGCCGAGCGAGGUGCGGCUGCGGUGACCCUUCCCUCAAGUAACGAGAGAGAAAUGGAAUGACAGCAGAAAUGGUUUAAGAAUCGUUGAAUGUAUCGGUACGGCCACUGAAAACCUUACCCGUCUAACGCAGGUGUGAAACUGCUCUGUUCAAAGCCCGGAGGAAAUAGCGUGGGGCGUGAGGAUGUACGGACAGCGACUGCAUUUUCGUUGAAGCAAACGUAGAGUUGUUUGCAGCGCCAGCUCUGAAGCACACGCGCCUUUGUGUCUUUUUAACCGAGUUUGCACGUGGUUGUGCUGCAUCCACCAAUUUCCAGCAGCGUCUGCAGGCAGCUCUGCCCUAACAAUGGCACGUCUCCUGCCAAGCGUGAUCUAUGUCGGCUAGAUGUUGGGCUGCUUCUUUCUUUCGGGUAGCAGCGAGGAGAACGGCAGCUGAGCUGGAUGCGAGCCCCCCUCUCGUGCUCCCAUGGGGAGUGGGAGCUUAUAGAGAGCCCCCUGGGCAAACGCUGAGUGCCUUGGGGCUUCUCCGUGCUCUCUCCGAGCACGGGGAGUGUGUGGGGAGGGGAUCGGGCACCAAAGCAUCCAAACCCUUACUGGUGGGGCUGGGAGCCGUGCUCCUUCGCUAGAUGUUAGCAGCAUGAUUGGUUGCUUGUAGUAUUGACUGUGUUUUCUGCUCUCUUUGGAUGGUGAUUGAUGACCUGUCAGUGUUCUUACCUGAAGUGUCCGUCUGCAGUUAAAACUCAUUCAUUCUGGUACCUAAAAACCUUUUGUUCCUUUGAGAAGAAGAGCACUCUGAAGUGUCAGGGUGCCUGGCACAUCCCAUGUCAACUCAUCCCCGCCUCCCCACCAUGGAACGGGUGGGGAGCACGCGUGGGGGAGGGCGGUGUGGGGCAGCUCAGCGCCUCCAGGCCUCACACUGCACACAUCGGGUGCCCGCAGGAGCCUCAGCCUGAGACUCCCCGCUCACACCCCUUUUAGCAGCUGAGAGGGAGCCGUGAGCAGCUGCUGCCGUGCGUGUUUAAAGUAAUCGAUACUGCUUCGGGGUGGAGAGCUUCCCUUCUUCCUCUGAGUCCAUCAGUGUGAUUGACGACCAACAAAACCAUACUCCUUGUGUCUCCUUUUCUAGAAGGCUGACGUGUGGUGCUGGGCUCUCUGCUGCUGGUGAGGGAGGUGUAGGGGAUCCCUGCGCUGCUCUGAUGGAACAACCUCGCCCCGUGCAACGCUCCGUUUUCUCCUUGUGGCACCAAAAAAAACAGUCCCUCUCUUCUGAGGUGCCCGGUGACAGCAGAGAGAUGAGCCCCUGGAUGAUGAAAUAAGGUCUUUUUGUUUUUCGUUAACAUUUUUGAUUUUUCUGAGUGUUAAUAAAGAUUUUUUUUAAUUUUUUGAAAGAUAUUUGUUAAAUCUAAUUUUCCCCUUCUUUACAAGGUAUGAUGAAGACUUGAGAGUUCUGGAAUGGCUUAAAGUUUUCUUGUUUUGUUUUUAUAAAACUGGAGGCACGUGUUUUUGCAGUGAAGUAUGGGAUAAAGACCUUGGGGCAUUCAUUCCAUGGGGGCUUACCUAUUGCUUGGAGGUGCUGUUGGAACAGAUCAUAGAGCCAUAGAAUAUCCUGAGCUGGAAGGCAUCUGUAAGGAUCAUCAACUGCUACUCCUAUGGAAUGUUUAGGAAUGAUUUCCACUCCCUUACAUUAGUUUUAUAUUGUGGUUAAGCGAACUGUUGAGUAAGGGUCACCAGAUGUUCAUUUUCAGCACUUUGAGGACAUUAUGGUUUCCUAAUCUUUCUCACCAUUGCACUUCUGAUUGCUGAUCAAUGCUGAGCUUUGAACGAAACGGAAAAAGAAAUGUCCCUAAAUAAAAAAUAAAAAAUAAAACAAAUGAAAGGGUUGAGUAACA